GUUUAUACAUAAAAGAUGAAUUAAUUCUUCCUACUUAUGUGAAGGUUGACUUUGGUGACUUCCAAUUUGUGUACAUCAAACCGAAAGUGAUACGAUACGUGUCGGGGGUUGCAACAGCUUCUUUGGGUUCAGGAGAACUAAGUAGUGAAGAGUACAAGGCAGCACAAGUUGAUCCGAUAGUUCAAUUUGCAAAGCCUGUCAUGUCUCACAUGAAUAGGGAUCAUACUGAAGAUACAAAGAUGAUUGUGAGACACUGGACGUCCAUUCCGGUAAAAAAAAAAAAAA